rnacentral:pre_miRNA from 1 species
AAAGCGAGAGCGUUGUUCGCUUUAGCUGGUUGACUUCGGGUCAAAUUGUCAUUUUCAUAUCAUUUGGUCCCCUUCAACCAGCUGUAGUUAACAUCUGCUUU